GAUGAACGCUAGCUACAGGCUUAACACAUGCAAGUCGAGGGGAAACGACAUCGCAGGCUUGCUUUUGAUGGGCGUCGACCGGCGCACGGGCGAGUAACGCGUAUCCAACCUGCCCACCACUUGGGGAUAACGCUGCGAAAGUAAGACUAAUACCCAAUGACGUCUCUAGAAGACAUCUGAAGGAGAGUAGAGAUUUAUCGGUCAUGGAUGGGGAUGCGUCUGAUUAGCUUGGUGGCGGGGUAACGGCCCACCAAGGCGACGAUCAGUAGGGGUUCUGAGAGGAAGGUCCCCCACAUUGGAACUGAGACACGGUCCAAACUCCUACGGGAGGCAGCAGUGAGGAAUAUUGGUCAAUGGACGAGAGUCUGAACCAGCCAAGUAGCGUGCAGGAUGACGGCCCUAUGGGUUGUAAACUGCUUUUAUAAGGGAAUAAAGUGAGUCUCGUGAGACUUUUUGCAUGUACCUUAUGAAUAAGGACCGGCUAAUUCCGUGCCAGCAGCCGCCGUAA
rnacentral:rRNA from 1 species